UAGUGAGUUUGAUCCUGGCUCAGGAUGAACGCUAGCGGCAGGCCUAAUACAUGCAAGUCGAACGGGGUGUAGCAAUACACCUAGUGACGCACGGGUGCGUAACGCGUAACCAACCUGCCCGAAACUGGGGGAUAGCCCGCCGAAAGGCGGAUUAAUACCGCAUAACUCCACAGAGUGGCAUCACUUCAUGGAUAAAGAUUUAUUGGUUGUAGAUGGGGUUGCGUGCCAUUAGCUAGUUGGCAGGGUAACGGCCACCAAGGCGACGAUGGCUAGGGGACCUGAGAGGGUGAUCCCCACACUGGCACUGAGAUACGGGGCCAGACUCCUACGGGAGGCAGCAGUAGGGAAUAUUGGGGCAAUGGGGCGAGAGCCUGACCCAGCCAUG
rnacentral:rRNA from 1 species